AUGCUGCGGAAAUCAUGAACCAGAUAAAGUUCACCUUUAGUCCCUUGUCUACACCCUGAAGGUGUAACAUGAGGGAUCCCAUCUGCUAUGGUUUGAAUGUGCGUGCCCGCUCCAAAAUUCAUGCUGAAACUUAAUCCCCAGCGCAACUGUAUCGGAAGCAUAAUGGGACUAAGACACCAUCAGAACUUGGGACCAAAAGAAUACUUUUGCCCUCUGAGAGCUGAUUCUUAACACAGAAUAAAAAUGAAGAAUUACUUUAAAGAGAUGGACUACCUCAAGGGACUAGAACUAUUGCCACUGAGGGCAGGUGAAAGUUCAGCCAACUCGGAACCCGGAGGCCCCACCUUACCUCCCUUUGUGAAGAGCCCAGAGCCUUUGUCCAAAGCUGCAUCACUUCCCACCCAGCCCUUCCUGAGCCAACUCCCCGAUGUCUCCAGAAGAACACAGUCGGCAUCAUCGUGAUAACAUCAGGGAAACUCCUAUUUCCAGCAGUUUCUCCUUCAGCUGCAAAAAUGUGCAGCAGUAGACAGGGCGUGGGUUUUUGAAGUCUCUGCAGGAAGUAGAGUUAUUUUCUCAGCACCACAUCUGAGCGCAUCUUCUAAGGGUGGCCGACUGUGUGGGAGCUGCAGGAGCUCAGCCGGGAUGCAGCCCUCCCAUUCCCCACCCUGUCCACUACCACCACGCCUGGAUCCGACAGGCAGGGCAGGACCCCAUGCCACGUGGUAACUGUUAAGGAAAAUGGAGCCAGGUAGGGGGGAUGUCUGAUACCCUUCCUGGUUUUCCUGAGUGUUCUUUGUCUCCCCAACUCCUACUCACAAUAAAUCUGACUACACUUAAACUUAGA
rnacentral:lncRNA from 1 species